rnacentral:misc_RNA from 1 species
GAUGAAGAACGCAGUGAAAUGCGAUAAUUAAUGUGAAUUGCAGAAUUCAGUGAAUCAUCGAGUCUUUGAACGCACAUUGCGCCCCCUGGUAUUCCGGGGGGCAUGCCUGUCCGAGCGUCAUUACAACCCUCAAGCUCAGCUUGGUGUUGGGCCCCGCCGCCCCGGCGGGCCCUAAAGUCAGUGGCGGUGCCGUCCGGCUCCGAGCGUAGUAAUUCUUCUCGCUCUGGAGGUCCGGUCGUGUGCUCGCCAGCAACCCCCAAUUUUUUUCAGGUUGACCUCGGAUCAGGUAGGGAUACCCGCUGAACUUAAGCAUAUCAAUAAGCGGAGGA